GGGGCGGGCAGGUGCGGACCACCUAAACCCCGGGCUGCGAGCUUUUGCCCUACUGAGGUCCGGGUUGGAAAGGACCUCUUCCUCCUGGGCUGUCCCCGAGCAGAUGUAGACACUGGAGGCUCACCGGGCACCGGGGGCUUUCUUUAUUCCUUUGGAAGUCCUGAUGAACCUGUCUACUGAGUUUGGAAAGCAUCAGAAGAGGCACAUUUAAUCACCAUUGGUACAUGCCCACCAAGUAGUCUCAGGGCCCAGGAAUAUUGCUGUUGUGCAGCAGGCUGGAGAGAUGGCUUAGAGGUUGAGAGCACUGGCUGCUCUUCCAAAGGUUCUGAGUUCAAUUCCCAGCAACCACAUGGUAGCUCACAACCAUCUACAAUGAGAUCUUCUGGUGUGUGGGCAUACAUGCAGACAGA